GCUUAGCCCCAUGAACCCUGAUUUCACCAGAUCUCCUCUGAUCUUGGAAGCUAAGUAUGGUUAGUUCUAGUUAGUACUUGGAUGUAAGACCACCAAUGAAUCCCAAGUGCUGCAGGCU
rnacentral:rRNA from 11 species